GGCGGCUCCAGGCGCCGCGCCAGUCCCCGCCCGCGGCACGGCGACGCCGCCGGCAGCUCCGCUGCACGCGGCCUCCGGGAGGCCGGCGGAGGAGCUCCAGGAGGGGGCGGGCGCUGCUACCACGCUCGACGCCGAGCGGCCGGCCGGACUCCCCACGCAGCAUGGGCCCGGGCGGAAGAGGGGGAGGGAGGCAGCGUGGAAGCCGGCCCGGAAGGCAAGGGCGACGCCGGCUGCAGCAUCUCUGCUCCCUCCCAAAUUGCUGUGUGCUCCCCGGUGCCGGCCACCAUCGAAAUUCCAGCAAGGAACUUGCAAUUUAAGGGCAUGUUAAAGAGUUUCAGGUGGUGGUGCCCCUUUUGGUGCAAGGAACAAGUAUUCAAGGAACUCAUCACGAGUUGAAGUGUUGAACAAUUGAUAACUGAAUGUCUGAAAUCCGAACUUGGUAGUUUCAAUGUUGGGUUAAUCAGGGAGGCGGUGAACCACCAUCAGGGAGGCAGGGAGGACCAUUGAGGAUCUUUUGGCAUAGCAGAGGAAUUUGUGAUUUGAGUUUGCUGGCUCUGUGAACAGGUCUCUUCAGAUCAUGUAUAACAUUUGGAUGGACGAAGCUGAGAUAGAUGCCGAGAUUAAAGCACAAAAAGAAGCCGAAAUGCAGGAGCUGAAAGUACAGAAAGAAGCUCAACUGCAGAAGGUGAUGAAGGAGAACGUGAGGCUACUUUGCAUUGUUGAUAAGGAGGCACAGCUCCAGCCGAUGAGUGAGCAGUGCAAGUUUCUGGCACAGCAGAUGCCGUGGGAUAACUCAUGCUGCUUCCUUAACUCCGCUCCCAGGGCUCUAAAUUCUUCAUGCAGAUAUUCAUUUCCUUAGAUGUGCUGGAGUUAAAAGUCCGAUACAUCAUGUCCUAAAAAUGUGUAUCUCGCGGUUGGGGAUGAUGCAUAUUAUGUUUUCUGAAAUAUAACAAGUCGUUACUACUAUAUAUAUGUGAUGAAAAAAAAUCUAAGGCUAAGAGGCCUUUGACUGACAUAUUUUGGAGUUGUAAUUUCAACUUUCAACAAGGCAUGACCAGGUGAUUUGCGCUAA